GGAGAGAUGGCCGAGUGGUCUAAGGCGCACGCCUGGAAAGCGUGUACUCCGGGAGAACCGGGGUCGCGGGUUCGAAUCCCGCUCUCUCCGCCA
rnacentral:tRNA from 1 species